rnacentral:tRNA from 1 species
GGCGUCGUGGCCGAGUGGCUUAGGCAGGGGCCUGCAAAGCCCCCCACGUGAGUUCGAUUCUCACCGACGCCU